GGGGAAUAUUGCACAAUGGGCGCAAGCCUGAUGCAGCAACGCCGCGUGAGGGAUGACGGCCUUCGGGUUGUAAACCUCUUUUAGUAGGGAAGAAGCCGUAAGGUGACGGUACCUGCAGAAAAAGCACCGGCUAACUACGUGCCAGCAGCCGCGGUAAUACGUAGGGUGCAAGCGUUGUCCGGAAUUAUUGGGCGUAAAGAGCUCGUAGGCGGCUUGUCGCGUCUGCUGUGAAAUCCCGGGGCUCAACCCCGGGCCUGCAGUGGGUACGGGCAGGCUAGAGUGCGGUAGGGGAGAUUGGAAUUCCUGGUGUAGCGGUGGAAUGCGCAGAUAUCAGGAGGAACACCGAUGGCGAAGGCAGAUCUCUGGGCCGUAACUGACGCUGAGGAGCGAAAGCAUGGGGAGCGAAC
rnacentral:rRNA from 1 species